rnacentral:rRNA from 1 species
UACGUAGGGGGCAAGCGUUGUCCGGAAUCAUUGGGCGUAAAGCGCGUGUAGGCGGCCCGGUAAGUCCGCUGUAAAAGUCCAGGGCUCAACCCUGGAAGGCCGGUGGAUACUGUCGGGCUCGAGUCCGGAAGAGGCGAGUGGAAUUCCUGGUGUAGCGGUGAAAUGCGCAGAUAUCAGGAAGAACACCCGUGGCUAAGGCGGCUCUCUAGUACGGUACUGACGCUGAGACGCGAAAGCGUGGGGAGCGAACAGG